GACGAACGCUGGCGGCGUGCCUAAUACAUGCAAGUCGAGCGGAAGUUGAGGAGCUUGCUCUUCAACUUUAGCGGCGGACGGGUGAGUAACACGUGGGCAACCUGCCCUGCAGCUCGGGAUAACUCCGGGAAACCGGUGCUAAUACCGAAUAGUUUUCGCCACCUCCUGGUGGCGUACGGGAAGACGGUUUCGGCUGUCCCUGCAGGAUGGGCCCGCGGCGCAUUAGCUAGUUGGUGGGGUAACGGCCCACCAAGGCGACGAUGCGUAGCCGACCUGAGAGGGUGAUCGGCCACACUGGGACUGAGACACGGCCCAGACUCCUACGGGAGGCAGCAGUAGGGAAUCUUCCGCAAUGGACGAAAGUCUGACGGAGCAACGCCGCGUGAGUGACGAAGGUUUUCGGAUCGUAAAACUCUGUUGUGAGGGAAGAACAAGUACCAACUAACUACUGGUACCUUGACGGUACCUCACCAGAAAGCCACGGCUAACUACGUGCCAGCCGCCGCAGUAACAC
rnacentral:rRNA from 1 species